CUACCAUGCAGUCGAGGGGUAUGUUUCUUCGGAAGCAGAGACCGGCGCACGGGUGCGUAACGCGUAUGCAAUCUACCUUUUACAGAGGGAUAGCCCAGAGAAAUUUGGAUUAAUACCUCAUAGUAUUAUGAAAUGGCAUCAUUUUAUAAUUAAAGUCACAACGGUAAAAGAUGAGCAUGCGUCCCAUUAGCUAGUUGGUAAGGUAACGGCUUACCAAGGCUACGAUGGGUAGGGGUCCUGAGAGGGAGAUCCCCCACACUGGUACUGAGACACGGACCAGACUCCUACGGGAGGCAGCAGUGAGGAAUAUUGGACAAUGGGCGCAAGCCUGAUCCAGCCAUGCCGCGUGCAGGAUGACGGUCCUAUGGAUUGUAAACUGCUUUUGUACAGGAAGAAACACUGGUUCGCGAACCAGCUUGACGGUACUGUAAGAAUAAGGAUCGGCUAACUCCGUGCCAGCAGCCGCGGUAAUACGGAGGAUCCAAGCGUUAUCCGGAAUCAUUGGGUUUAAAGGGUCCGUAGGCGGUUUAAUAAGUCAGUGGUGAAAGCCCAUCGCUCAACGGUGGAACGGCCAUUGAUACUGUUAGACUUGAAUUAUUAGGAAGUAACUAGAAUAUGUAGUGUAGCGGUGAAAUGCUUAGAGAUUACAUGGAAUACCAAUUGCGAAGGCAGGUUACUACUAAUGGAUUGACGCUGAUGGACGAAAGCGUGGGUAGCGAACAGGAUUAGAUACCCUGGUAGUCCACGCCGUANACGAUGGAUACUAGCUGUUGGAAGCAAUUUCAGUGGCUAAGCGAAAGUGAUAAGUAUCCCACCUGGGGAGUACGUUCGCAAGAAUGAACUCAAAGGAAUUGACGGGGGCCCGCACAAGCGGUGGAGCAUGUGGUUUAAUUCGAUGAUACGCGAGGAAACUUACCCAGGCUUAAAUGUAGAUUGACCGGUUUGGAAAC
rnacentral:rRNA from 1 species